rnacentral:rRNA from 1 species
AAGCGUGCGCAGGCGGAUUGUUAAGCAAGACGUGAAAUCCCCGGGCUUAACCUGGGAAUGGCGUUUUGAACUGGCAGUCUAGAGUGCGUCAGAGGGGGGUGGAAUUCCACGUGUAGCAGUGAAAUGCGUAGAGAUGUGGAGGAACACCGAUGGCGAAGGCAGCCCCCUGGGAUGACACUGACGCUCAUGUACGAAAGCGUGGGUAGCAAACAGGAUUAGAUACCCUGGUAGUCCACGCCCUAAACGAUGUCAACUGGUUGUUGGGGGAGUGAAAUCCCUUAGUAACGAAGCUAACGCGUGAAGUUGACCGCCUGGGGAGUACGGUCGCAAGAUUAAAACUCAAAGGAAUUGACGGGGACCCGCACAAGCGGUGGAUGAUGUGGAUUAAUUCGAUGCAACGCGAAAAACCUUACCUACCCUUGACAUGUCCGGAAUCCUGCAGAGAUGCGGGAGUGCCCGAAAGGGAAUCGGAACACAGGUGCUGCAUGGCUGUCGUCAGCUCGUGUCGUGAGAUGUUGGGUUAAGUCCCGCAACGAGCGCAACCCU